UACGUAGGGGGCAAGCGUUGUCCGGAUUUAUUGGGUUUAAAGGGUGCGUAGGCGGCCCUGUAAGUCAGUGCUGAAAUAUCCCAGCUUAACUGGGAGGGUGGCAUUGAUACUGCGGGGCUAGAGUACAGAUGAGGUAGGCGGAAUUGACGGUGUAGCGGUGAAAUGCGUAGAUAUCGGAAGGAACAUCAGUGGCGAAAGCGGCUUCCUGGACCAGUACCGACGUUCAGGCACGAAAGCGUGGGGAGCAAACAGG
rnacentral:rRNA from 1 species